UAGUCCUAGUUUUUAUUAAAUAGACCAGCAGGGCAUGCAACAAUUAAAUGGGUCGACACCAUUUAUAAAAUUAGGUGAGAGCCCAACAUUUUUAAGGAAAAAAAAAAGGAGCAAACGCAACCACUUCCUAUUGGCCUCUGAUUUCAACAUUGUUGAUUGCAACCACUUUUAAGCUCUGUUUGGUAAUACUUAAAAGCUAAAUUUUUUUUAAGUUUAUUACUAAAAAAGUCUAAGAUUUUUUUGACUUUUUUGCUCUUCUGACUUUACUUUAGGUACAAAUAAACCAAAAAAAAAUACUAACUUUAGUUGGCUUUUUUGCUUAUAAGUUUAAAAAAAACCACUGGUACCAAACGGAGCCUUAGAAGGGCGUGAUUUUCACACACUAUUUUUUUAAAAAACAUAUUAGGUAAAUUACAAUGAUUUGUCCUGAUAUUUUUCUUUUAAUACAAAUACUUCCCUCAUAUUUUAAAAAUUACACUUACCUCCCCUGUUAGUGUUCGUCUUAUAAUUGAGGUAAGAAAAAAAAUUUAAUUUACAUAAAUACCAUCAACUAGGUUGAUAAAUCAUGUCUCUCUUCACCACCACCUCUCCACCCUAGCUGUCUAUACGUGUGUAUAUUAUAUAACAAGCCAAACACCGCCGGAUUGCCGUGCCUUGUGAUAUCUUUUGUCCAUUCUGUAAUUUGUCUACCAUGGAAUCGAACUUUUACGGCGGCCAACAUUUGACUUGUUCACAGCCAACUAAAAGAGCACCUUUUUUUUCCUCUCAAUAUUAUCCCUCUAUUUCAUACGAUUAGAUGCAUAAAUACUUUAUUUAGAAAGGAUAAUAGUGCAAGAUCUUAAUAUAGUUGUGUGGUACUUGAAUUUUAAAAUGGACAGACUUUGAGACUUCCAAAACAGUGAAACAAGAAAACAUGGGAUGAGGCACAUGCCCCAAUGUUCCUCUCCUUCCAUGGCGACGCGAGCUACCUGAUUUAACACUCAAACCAAUAUGUGGGGUCGGGUGGUUUGGGCCGGUCGGGUGUCCGAAACAACACCUUUUGCAUAACAGAAAACAUGUAUGAAAUGGUAGUUCUUUUUUUAUUGAGUUGUGCACCAUAGAAUGGGCUUGUUUGUUGUCCGUAUCUACUGGUUUUCACUGCCGACAAUUUUAUUUUUUGUCCGUUACGAUGCAAGCACCCAAGUUAGCUUCCUCCUCAAAUGAUAUGCAACGACAAGUUUCUAGUCCAUAGCAACAGUUUUUUCCUCUAGAAUUUUCUCUUUGUAGCCUAUAAAUUCAAAAAAGAAAAUCUAAUCUACACUAUACACACUCACACAGGCCUCAAAUACACUAACACAGCCACCCACCACUUCCCCCGCAGGUUCUAAUUUUUAAACACAGCGAGUUGAAAGCAGGCGCUGCUCCCAUCAUCCGCAGGAGGGUCCUCUACGUCUACGGUGGUCUCUCUCCUCUCUCUGAAUCUCUCUCUCCUCACAUUGGCUCAGUUAUCCUGGCCCAAAUCAACUGAAUUGGAUGUGACCAAAAACCGACCGAUUGAUAUCAAGUUCGGUCAGGUUCGGUCCACCAAAACGAUCGAACCAAACCGAUCGACCCUUAAGCAUUUUUGGAACGAACCGACUGAGCUAACCAAAUAACAACCCCUCCUCACAGUUCAUACGGUAUGACAGUCUUAUGGGCAUAUUCCCAUUUUCAUGUAGUUAUGAUGUGGUUUGUGUGAUUCCACCAUCUGGUGAGUCCAGCCUUACUUGAUGAUUGCAGUCCAGUAGCCAAGCUCAAGCCCGAUUGGAGUUCAUAUGGAGGUCCAUGUGAGGCUUUACACUCUCGAGUUAUCUAAAACUUUUGGAGAGUCUUUUAUCUUUUUAUUUUCCUAGAUAGAUAAGGAUAAUGAUUAGGUAUUUCGGUAGAGUCCACCCCCUCCUUGCCUUGGUCUCUAAAGGGAUUGUAGGGUGCUUAGAUUUUCCUACGUGCGUUGUGUUGUGACUGAGAGUCAGAUUGCUGUGAGGUGAGAUUGAGAGGCACACAGAGGGUGUGAAUUGAGAGAUCGCGUCUCCUUCGCUUGUAAUCCAUCCCGUUUGAUAAAAGUGGGAAUUGUUGAUUUCUUCUCCGUGACGUCGUGCCUCGUUGGCCAACCACGUAAAUCUUUCUUGUCUUUUGUGUUGUGUGUGAUCAAUACGUAGUUUUGAGCACAACAAUUGGUAUCAGAGCCUAGGUGGAGGCUAUUCGAGCCCAUGUCAAAAUUCGGUGUCCGGAAAAGUGCUCAAAAUUAAUUUUUGCUUGCCCAGGUUGUUCUCUCGUCGAUAACGGACCUCCAGCACACACCGCGUCGAAACGAGUCCGGACAACGCUCACGAGCCGUUUGAAUAUCUUCGAGUGAGAUUAGUCUCUCAGCCACGCGCCACGUCACCGCCGCAAGGUCACGGCCCUUAAACCCGUUGAGCUUUGACCUAUCGUUACCUUGACCGGAGAAAUUAACACUUUUUAGUCCCUGAGAUUUUUGGGAUACAGUUUGUGUCCUUAGAAAUUUCUGUUAAUUACAUAUGGUGUCCCUAGAGUUACUAUAAUACUUUUAGGUCCCUAAAUUCGGUUUUUUCAAUUUGGUCCAAGGAGCUGUUCUGAUUUUUUGUCAUUGGCCCAUUACCUUUCUGAUUGUGGACAGUUUAGCCAUUCCUGAAGUUUCUCGGCUUCCGGAUUCAUCCGCGGGGUUGAUUUUCGAGAUGUUUCGUCUAUUUGGAGAAAGUAAGAUAGCAUAGUAUAAUUUGAUUGAUUAUCGUACUUUUCGAAUCACUUCAGACGCCGGAAAUUAUAUGCCUAUAAAAACCUCAGAUGGAGACACCUAUUUUGGCAAGGAUUUUCAACAACCCUGCUUUGAGAAUAAACGGAGAAAAACCUUUAAUCGAAGAGUAUGAGGAAUGGAGAAAGAUGAACGGAAGACUUUGGUCUAAUCAGAUAGUGUAUUUGGACACGAGAUGUUUCCAUCAUGUAGCACACAGACGAGUGCUUAUGAGUUGUGAUCAGUUGGCUGAGAUGUAUCAUGCGAAGACAUCUCGGAAUAAACCCUUAUUAUUAAUGAGAGGCUUGUGAUUUGAAGCUUAGAGGGAGACUACAUUGGCGGAACAUACGAGUUGGUUCCAAAAUUUGGUCAAUCAGUUACCAGUGGACCUACAGUUUUACGCGGAGGUGCAUGCCUAUGGCGGUUCUGAGUUCCUUGCCAAGAUUGUGAGACAUGGUGUUCUCCUCAGCAUUCAGCGCCGAACUGGGAAGUUGACUACGAGUAUAGUCAUGGAUGCCCUGUUCCUGAAGAGGCUCGGAGGAAGAGAUGGUUUCGACAGAUCAAGAGUGAGUUUCAGGCCCUAAUCUCAGAGGUGAGCAGGGAAAGAGGCGAGUCAAGAAAUAGGUCAUCAUAGGGGUACUGACAAAGGACGGUGGAGGUCACAUGCGAGAGGGUCGCAUUGUUAGGGUUCUUUUAUUGCGACCAGGAGGGGCAUAUCAAAUCAAAGGGGAUUGCCAACGUACAAGCAAGAGCAUCUUCAGAUACGGCAGCGCCAGCAGUGUGGCUGUGGAUGGAGUGAUGUACUCCGAAGCCGCAUCGGAAAUGGAAUCCGAUUGGGUAUGGAUUCCGGCAGUGUCUCACCCACUUUGUUAAUAAGAAGGUGUUUCUCUACAUAUGCCACCAUGCUAGGGACGUAUUGGAUAGCGAACAAUACAUCUAUCAUAAGAGUUGUUUGGCAAAAGGAUCAGUCCGGUUCCGCAUGGCAUACUGGAAGGUCGGUGAUGUUGACUGCGGUAAGGCAGUUUCCUAAUCUACGGAAAAAUUUUGAUUUCUAUUGAGAUGCUAGAUUCAAAGGGAUGCAGCUUUGAUGCUAUGUAUGGAACUCUCAGAGUUCCAGGAAACAGGAGAUGAUGUUGGGAGAGACUGGGAGGUCUUACCCGAUUUGAGGGAAGUGUCCAGGCAGCGGGGCUAACUGUCCGACUGGUCCAGUGGUAUUAGGUAUGAAAUGGACAAGUGAAAACAACCGUUGCCGCAGAGGUACACAAAGCAAGCUCAGUGGUACCUGAGUAUCCGUAGUGGUACAAGAGCGGCAUAGAGAUGGCUUUGGGGAUAUGUACGAGAAGUCUGCCACACGAGUGGUUUGCAACCAGUGCAAGGAUGUUGCAUAGAGAAGCUCGAGGAAGGAGACCAAGUCGAAUUUUGAGAAGCUUAUCAGUUAAGGGCGCGGUGAACGCCGAAUCAGUCUCUGUUUGCUCUCUCUUUGAUCAUUGCAGUGAUCUCUCCAUUUGUGUGCACAAGGAAAGAGAUGGGCCCGACAAUCCGUAAAGUGACGUACUUUGUCGGCGCACUCGGUGGGGGUGGUUGGCACCCAGUGGUGUGCAGGGCACCUCGGGUGAGAAGGGCAGGCGCUUCGUGGGAAGUGGAGUAAGCCCCUUGAUGAGGCUAGGUAUCUCGGAUGUUGUCUUGAUCUUAUGGGGAGCUGGAUCAGAAGCUGUCAGGAAAGACACAUUGAAAGACGUCAAUUUACCCUCUAGUGGGCUGGGUGGUAGAUUGUUGAGUCCAGCCGCAUCUGGAUGAGUCCAAGCCGACUUGGAUGAGUCCCAUCCCAGUAUCCACGCCCAAGGCCCGAUUGGAGUUCAUAUUAGUGGUCGCUAGUGCCGGUGACUCUCGAGUUAUUGCUAGAACUCUGAGAGUCUUAUCUUUUUAUUUUCCUAAUAGAUUAAGGAUAAUGAUGAUGGUAUUCGGUAGGGAGUCACCACCUCUUCCCUUGGUAUAUAAAAGGGAUGAGUAUGCUUUUUUAGAUUUUUCUACUUGCGUUGUGUUUGUGUGCUGAGAUCAUAUUGCUGUGAGGUGGAGCUGGGCAAGAUCGGAGGGUGUGAGUUGAGAAGAUCAGUCUCCUCCGUUGUAACCAUUCGUUUUGAUAGUGGAUUGUUGAUUUCUCUCCGGGGACGUAGGCAUCGUUGGCCUAACCACGUAAUCUUUAUUAUUUUUUUUGGUGUGUGUGAUACAUACUUAGUUUUGAGCACAACAGUUUGUGCUUGUCUUUCCAUUCGACAUCCAAGGACAUGACUCUUGAUAUUUGGAUUAGUCUUUCAGACUUAAGUUUACACUUUUUCAAAGCUAACAUAUGAGGGAAGAUGACUGGCUCAAGAAGGGAAAGUAUUUACGACAAGAAUUGGUGAGGCAAACAUUAGCAAUGGUUCAUUCUCUGCUUAUUAGUAUUUUCUCCUUCCGGUCCCAAGGGCACAAGUUCCCCCCUAAUCCCGAAGAAAGGGUCAUUUUGUCAUUAUUGCAAUUAGGUGUCUAUACGCUUGGUCAGUAUGAAUGAUACGGGGUGACUAGGUUCCUGUAACUGUUCUCUUGCUCCACAUCCACCGUACCCACUUCUACGGAGUCAAUUGUAAUUAUCUUCUUUAAAGGCAUGUUAGGUUGAUGUUGGGAGCAACUAAAUGACCGAUUACGACGACGACACCUGAUGAGUUUCUAUGCAAAACUUUUGUAAUCGUCAUAACCCAUCGAAGUCUAUGACACCCAAGAUCCAGUGGUUGUUAUGUACUUGAAGGAAUUGCAAAGGCUUUUUUUGUGUUGGAUACAAAAUUUGAAAUCAAAAAAAAAAUAACUUCUCUUUCCACUUUUUAAUGUUUUUAGUGAUUUUUUCACGAUUAAUCAAAAAAACACUAUUCGUUCUCUUGAUAAACAGAUUCCUAAAAAUUAUAAAAAAACUCUCUAUUUUAAGAGAAAUGCCUAAAAGAAAAAAAAUAUUUUUAGAUUUUUGACUUUUAAUCGUAAAAAUAAUUAAAAUAAUAUAAAAUUUGAUCGAAUAAUAAAAAAAUUAUUAAAUCCCAAAAAAUCGAAAAUGAGAGUGAAAGAAAUGUGUUUUAAUUUUAUUUUUUUUUGUAGGUCUCACUAAAAACAAUGAUCAUAUGGAUAAAAUAUAUGUCAAACUUUCAAGUUUUUUUAGCCAUUGAAUAAUAAUUUAUGUGAGAUCCACAUCUUUGAAAAGAAUAAAGUGAUAGUUUUUGGAUAGAAAAAAACUAGUUUUUAGAUAAAAUCUCUGCCUUUAGAUUAAACUCAAUAAAUUUAACCGUAGAUAUUUAAAAUAACUUUUGAAUUCAAAUGAGUUGUUCUUUUUAUAGAUGGUAGCUUUUUUUUUGAUCGUAUACCUCUAUCUGUUUUUUCCCCUUUGUGGUGUGCCUACUAUUUUACAAACAUAAAAGUUGAGGAAAUUAAUUUUUGAUAAACUAAAUUUACAUAUUUCUUAUUAACAUUUUUUAAUGGUUUCGAUUUUCAAAUAAGUAAACUAUUCUGAGAACCUACUAAGAUUUGUAGUGUUUCUGUAAAAGUACUUACUUUAAAAGUUGAUUUAUCAAAAGUGAAUGUCAAAAAAUAUUAAAAAUGAGCUUAUAAAUUUAAAUUAAUCCCAAGUUAUUUUCACUCAUAAGCAAAAAAUAAAAACUGUAAUUAACACCAUGGCAUAAAUUUUUAGAUAAAAAAAAGUAAAAAACUAUAACAUAAACUACAAAUAUAGAGCAUUCUAAGAAUAACCAAUGCUCAAGUUAUAACUCAUGUUUAAAAAUUAUUUGCUGAACUCCCGCUCCCGCCCUUUUUUAAACUAUUUUUUAAAAAAUAUUGGGUAAUUACAUUAUCUCCCCUAAGGGUUUCUUUAAUACAGAUACUCUCGAUCUGGUUUAGAAUUACACCUAGCUUCCCUUCAUGUGUUCUUUUUAUAACUGACAAUGUUUGGAGCCAAAAGUAGAGGAGAAGGAAGAUUUGUAUAAUUUGGAUGCUACAUCAUAAAUUGGUGUUAAAUUUGUGUUUGUUUAGUUACCGGUAACCACGGCAGAAAAGUGUAUUAUCACUUGUAAUCUUUUGGGAGUUAUUGUUAAUUUAUUAGGAGAAGCCAUUGUAAUUUUGCCACAAAAAUAUUUAUAUACUAUAUCUGUAAUCAAAAUUAUAAAACAAUAUUUGUAUAUGUGAGAACUAUAUUACAGAGUUGUUUAAAUAAAUAUCAUUUUUAUAAUGUGUAUGAUAAAAAAAAACAUAUUGACCCAUUGGUAUGCUUAAAAUCAAAUUUUUUUAAACUGCCUAUUAACAAAUUAUUUUUUUAACUUCUUUAUUUAUAAUAUUAAAAAAACUCAGCCGAUCAGCUGUUCGCCAAACGAGUCAUUGUAAUGCAAAGAUAAAGCGUCAAAUUACUACUUUAAUUUUAUAUACAUAAAACUCAUUUUUUUCCUUAAAUUACGAUUUGAUUAUGCCUCGGAUUUGAUUAAAUAGUCACUUUUUACUAGUUCAGGAUCAGCCUAUUAUUAAAUAGUCAGCUUUUAUUACUUAAAAAAACGAUGGGGUUGGUUCGGCUUGAUUAUAAUUUUAUGAGGGGAAGGAGUAUAAAAAUAUUGUCUAGGGCCGAACUCAGUUCUGACAUUUAUUAAAAAUUAAAAAAUAAUAUAAAUAAUAAAUAAAUCAAUCAAAUUAAUAAAAUAAACAAAUUAAAAAAAAACUGGCAAAUAAAUAAAAAAAAAGCGUAGGGGUGUUCAACUGAGUUUUGUAAUUUCAUGGCGGGGAUGGUAUAAAAGUAAUUGUUUAGUAGGAACAAGGGGUCACGGGCGGUGUCGGGGAAAAACAAAUUUUUGCUUUUCUCUUGGAUCACCCCACACAGCACCGCCCACCCCCAACCCCUUCAGCCAUUACCAUUACGCCCCCACUUAUUUUACCCUCCCCACCGGGCCACCUCUUUUUUACCUCUUUUUUCCAGUUUUGUAUUUUUUUUAGUUUUUGCUUCUUUUCUUUUCAAUAUUUUUUUCUAUUUCUUUUGGAUCAACACUUAUUAUUAGUAUAUGUUUUAAUUUUGAGUUUAUUUUUAGUUAUAGAUUGGGAGUCAUUAUUUGUAAAAAUUUUAAAAAAUAUAAAAAUAUAAAUCAAAAUAAAAAGCAUAUAUUUGAAAAUAAAAACAUACUAACAAUUAAUAAGAAAAUACACUCAUAACUUGCUAACAACAUUCAAAUGAAAAGUGUUUUAGGCCAAUAUUAAUUUAGCCCAUGGUUUUAAAAAUCAGACUGGACCCGCCGGUUCGACCGGUCUAACCGUCGACCGAUCGGAGAAACUAUCCGGUCACCCGUCAAAAACGUGGUUGAACCGAUAACUCGUCGAUUGAACCGGUCAAUAGACCGUCCGGUUCACUGUUUUAAAAAAAUAUAUAUAUUUUAAUUUUAAAAUUUUAGGUUUUAAGUAUAAAAAAUAGUGUAGACAAAAAAAUUAAUUAAAAAAAUAAACAAAAUUAAGCAAAUAAAAAUAUAAAAUUAAAUAAAAACUAAACAAAACUCAAAGAAAAAAAAAACGCAGGAGUGGUUCAGCUAGGUUGUAAUUUCAUGCGAGGGGGAGGGGUACAAAAAGUAAUUGUUUAGAGGGACAGGGGUGUCAGGGGGCGGUGUCAGGCGGGAGGAAAAUCAAUUUACUAAUUAACAAGAGUAAAUUGAUUUUUUUCAACCCCCGACUCCAUCCCAAAACCUUUCCUCAGCAAUUACUAUUAAGCCCCCACCUUAUUUUCCCCUACCUCAGCCGGCCAUCAUCCUUUUUUUCCAGUUUUGUUUGUUUUUUUAAUUUGAUUUCUUUUAUUAAUUUUUUAAAUCAAAAUUCAGUUUUUUGGAUAAAUAAUUUUUUUUGUUAUAACGUUUGUAAUCAUUGAAGUGAAUCCCAUGCUGAAAUUUUACCUGAGAUUAUUUUUUUUCCUCCCCUAAACUAUCACUUCAUCUUUUGAAAAAGAUGGUUGAGCAUCAAUAUAUUGUGAUUCAAUGUUAUUGGAUAGUAUUUUUACUAAUUGAUAGUAUAUAAAAGACUGUGUCAGGUAUAGUUGAGGAACAACGAAAUAACACAUGCUUGUCGAUCACGUGUAAAUUCAGGUGUAUAGUCACAGACCUAUAUUAGAGUCGUAGGGGUGGGUUUUCUACACUUUAAAUAUCACAUCUCAGGGCUGUCCAACUAUUUUAAAUUGAAUCAGGCAGUGGUGGUGUGCUGUUGUUCUGGUGCGGAAAAACGGGUGUCUGACGCGAAAUCUUGGAUAGAAUAUUACCCACAAUAAUAAUCAAACUAAGGGGUUUGGGGGGGGGGUAAAACAUGAAAAUAAAAAAAAAUUGAACUAUAAAAGGGGGGCCCGGCUGGGUGGAGAGAGGGAAGAGAAUACAUCGCUAAAAGGGGAUGACAAAAUGUAAGGCUGGGGCUGUAGUUAAAAGGGGAAGGCUGGGGAGCCUGACUUGUGGAAAAGGGCAUGGCCCAAAAGGUUAAAUUCGGGGUGCGCUGUAGGUUUGUUGAUAUGACUAAAAGGGUUUUGGGAAUGAUAGUGCUCCAUUAUUUGGAACAAAGAGCCUAAUUAUUCCCAACCCCUGUUAGUCACAUCAACAGACCGUUCUGACCGGAAUUUACCUUUUUCCUGCCCUUUCCACCUUUUUCGGCGCCACCUCAGCCGUCAUCCCUCCUCCCUUUUCAUUGAUGUCUCCCUUCCCCAGCUUGGCCCCGCGUUUAUGUCCCAAAAUUUUUAUUUGUUGAUUUUUUGAUUAUUUUUUAAAUAAAGUUUUUGUGGUCUAUAUAUAUUAUGAAAACACGUUUUUAAGUUCUCAGGUAUUCAUACCAACCAUCCCUCUACUAUCACUUCAAUUUCUUGGCUAAUUUUGGAUCAAAACUAUAAUCUCAUUUAAAAUUAUUUGCUGACUCCCGGCCCUUUUUGGAAGGGGGCCCCCCCCCCCCCCCCCCCCCCAUGAUUUUCACACUUUUUUUACAAAAUAUAUAUUGGGUAAUUACAUGACCUCCCCUACGGGUUUCUUUUACUCCGAUACUCUCUGCAUGGUUAGAAAUUACACUUAGCUUCCCUGUCAGUGUUCUUUUUAUACUGAGUACUAGAAUUUUGAAAAUAAAUUAUUUGUCAUUAUAGUGUGGUUGUUUUGGUAAAAAAUAUCCUGUAUUGGUGCACCAUUUGUGCGUUGGGAGUUGGUUGAUGGUGUUUGAAAUCUUGGGCCAAAAGGAAGAGGAGAGGAUGGGAGGAUUUUGUAAACUAUGUACAAGUUUUUAAAAUAACAACAUAUUUUUAUGAUAAAAAACAUAUUUAAUACAACGAUAUCGUCAAGUACUUAAUUUUUAUCUCCAAAUGAACAACACUUUCCUUAACAUUGCUUGCGUUGCUUUGCCUCCCUUUUAUUAAUAGGUCAGCUGUUAUUGAACUAGGUCAGAGCCGCUUUAUUGAAUAGGUCGGGGGCCAUUAUUACAUGGGGGGGGGGGGGGGGGGGGGGGUCAGGAUAAGCGUGUUUACUAAAUACGACGUCAGCUUUUAUUAUCAUUACACCAAUUUUUUUUUUCCAAGCAUUUUUUUUUAAAUUUUAGGUUUAAAUAAGCAAAAAAGUCAUCAAGUUGGUUUGUGUGGUUUUGAUUUGUUUGUGCUUUUAUGCUGCUUAUUUUUUAGAGAAGCUAAAGUAAGCCACAAAGAAAAAAAAAUCAAAAAUUCUUAGCCUUUUGGUAGCCUACUUAAAAAGCUUAGUUUCUAACAUUACCAACGGAGCCUCGGUUCCCGUUUGGCAACACUUUUUUUUAAUUUGGUUUUGUUAAUUUUGUUGGUUUAAAAUAAAUAAAAAAUUACAUUAAAAAUUGACUUUUUUUUUUUGCUUUUUACUUGUUUUAACUAAAUACAGUCACAAAAAUAAAAAAAUAAAAAAAUAAAACAUCUUAACUUUUUAAUACAAAUUUUAAAAAAAUACUUUUUAAAUAUUACCAAAGGAUUAAUGAGAAUUGUCUUUUUCCCUUCUGCACACAAACACCCCGGCCAACCCAAAAACCCCUCAACAAUUAUCAUCAUGCCUCCCACUUCUUUCCCCCUCCCCUCAGCCGGCCACCCUCGGAUUUUUUGUUUUCCAUUUUUGUUUCUUUUUUUUUAUAUAAUCAAUUUUAUUUAUUUUUUUAUUAAAUUAAAUUUUUUAUCAGUUUUUUUUUUAUUUUUAUUAAAUUUAUUUUUUUUAUCAUUUUUUUUGGAUAAACAAUUUUUUUUAGUCAUUAUUUAUAAAAAUUUAAAAAGUAAAAAAAACUAUUAAUCAAAAUAAAAAGUAAUAUUAUAUAAUAUCAAAUUUAAACUUACUAAGAAACAUACUAAAUUAUGAAUCAAGCAUUUUUUUUUUUUGUCUUUUUUUUUUCUGUAAUUUGUGUUCUAUAAUAUAUAAUUAAUCUUAUAUUAUAUUCUAUAAAAUGAUUCUUUUACAUUUUCAAUUCUUCAAAAGUUUUUGUAGCUUAUAGCAAAAAAAUGUUUUUGUUUUUUAGAAAUAAAUUCAAAUGCAUCAACAAAAGAUGCAAAAUAUGGACCCAAGAGAAGGAGAUCCCUUACCCAAGAACUACCACUAAUAUUGGGCCCACAUUUGCAAUCAGAAGCUAACAAUCAAAAUAUUAAUGAUGAAUUCUAACCAUUUAAAAAUCUUGAUUUUAACAUUCCAAUAUACUCUUUUACAAAUCCUAUAGAACCAAGAGUGUUUAUUCUUGAAAAAUUGGUAAAUAAUCAUUUGGCCCGAUGUGGCUAAAAUUGUAAUCCAUCGAUUUUCAAACGUUUUGAAAAUUUUUAUGCAUUGUUGAAUUAAAUUAAGCCAUUUAAUCACGAUUUAGGUUUAAAAUGAAAGAUUAAUAAUUUUUAAGAUAAAAUUAAAAAAGGACAUUUAAGUUGAGGGGUUGAAGUGUAAAUUUUAAAUAACUGGAUGAUUGUGUCCCACAAAAUCAUUUACUUUACUUUACUUUUUCCUUUUUAAAAUUCUAUAAAUAAAAGAAAGAAUAAAAGAAAGAAAAGAAAGCAGGAAGGAGAGAGAGAAAGUGCACGAGACAAAGAAGAAGAAAGAAAAGAAAGGAAUAAAAAAAGAUAGAGAGAAAUUAUAUAGAGAAAGUGCACGAGACAAAGAAGAAGAAAGAAAAGAAAGGAAUAAAAAAAGAUAGAGAGAAAUUAUAUGGUGUCCUCAAAAUAUAAUAAUAAAAGAUAAGACGUGAAAUUAAACGAUGAAAUGACACCCGAUAUAAAUAAAAUUUCAAUAUAUUGUUUACGGAUUAUUAUUCUUAAUUUUAUACUUGAUAGAUCAAGGAGAGUUUGAUCCCAUGGGAAAGAUUUAUUGUACUUUGAUAUUAUGACAGAAUGUUGUCAUUUUAUUUUCGUUGAUUCUUCUUUCUUUUGAGUGUUUGUUUACGUGGCCAGCGUUUUGAUUAACAAAACUCUGAUUAUGACAACAUAGUAUCAGAAUUCUAAGUUCGCAUACGUAUGAACCAUGGGUGGCUAUGCCAAAUCAUUUAAGUUUAAGUAUUGAGAAUUUGAGAGGUAACGUGAGUUGGUUCUAUGUAAUAGAAAUAACAUGAAUAUACAUGGUAACAACAUACUGUCAUCUCAUCAUUUGACUCUUUUUUAUCUUUCUUUUAUUUUAAAAAGAAAAAAAUAAAGUAAAGUAAAGUAAAUGAUUGUGUCCGACACAAUUAUCUAUUUAUUUAAAAAUUAAAAAUAAAUUUUUAA
rnacentral:lncRNA from 1 species